rnacentral:rRNA from 1 species
UUUCCGGUUGAUCCCGCCGGACCUGACUGCUAUCGGAUUGAUACUAAGCCAUGCGAGUCUUUGCAGUAACGCAAGGCGGACUGCUCAGUAACACGUAGUCAACUUAACCUAUGGAUGGGUAUAACCUCGGGAAACUGAGAAUAAUUCCCAAUAGAUCAUUUAUCCUGGAAUGGUUGAUGAUUGAAAUGAUUCGUCGCCAUAGGAUGGGACUGCGGCCUAUCAGCUUGUUGGUGAGGUAAAGGCCCACCAAGGCUAUUACAGGUACGGGCUCUGAGAGGAGAAGCCCGGAGAUGGGUUCUGAGACACGGACCCAGGCCCUAUGGGGCGCAGCAGGCGAGAAAACUUUGCAAUGUGCGAAAGCACGACAAGGUUAAUCCGAGUGAUUUCUGCUAAAGAAAUCUUUUGCCAGUUCUAAAAAUACUGGUGAAUAAGGGGUGGGCAAGUUCUGGUGUCAGCCGCCGCGGUAAAACCAGCACCUCAAGUUGUCAGGAGGGUUAUUGGGCCUAAAGCAUCCGUAGCCGGCUCUGUGAGUUUUCGGUUAAAUCCAUAUGCUCAACAUAUGGGCUGUCGGAAAUACUGCAGAGCUAGGGAAUGGGAGAGGUAGACGGUACUCGGUAGGAAGGGGUAAAAUCCUUUGAUCUAUCGAUGA